rnacentral:rRNA from 1 species
CAUCGCCGCGGGAAUACAGAGGGUGCAAGCGUUAAUCGGAAUUACUGGGCGUAAAGCGCGCGUAGGUGGUUUGUUAAGUUGGAUGUGAAAGCCCCGGGCUCAACCUGGGAACUGCAUCCAAAACUGGCAAGCUAGAGUACGGUAGAGGGUGGUGGAAUUUCCUGUGUAGCGGUGAAAUGCGUAGAUAUAGGAAGGAACACCAGUGGCGAAGGCGACCACCUGGACUGAUACUGACACUGAGGUGCGAAAGCGUGGGGAGCAAACAGGAUUAGAUACCCGUGUAGUCCCUGUCUCUUAUACA